rnacentral:rRNA from 1 species
AUUGAACGCUGGCGGCAUGCUUUACACAUGCAAGUCGAACGGUAACAGGCCUUCGGGUGCUGACGAGUGGCGAACGGGUGAGUAAUGCAUCGGAACGUGCCCAGAGGUGGGGGAUAACGCAGCGGAAGCUGUGCUAAUACCGCAUGUGAUCUGAGGAUGAAAGCGGGGGACCAGGCAGCAAUGUUUGGCCUCGCGCCUUUGGAGCGGCCGAUGUCAGAUUAGGUAGUUGGUGGGGUAAAGGCCUACCAAGCCGACGAUCUGUAGCUGGUCUGAGAGGACGACCAGCCACACUGGGACUGAGACACGGCCCAGACUCCUACGGGAGGCAGCAGUGGGGAAUUUUGGACAAUGGGCGCAAGCCUGAUCCAGCAAUGCCGCGUGCGGGAAGAAGGCCUUCGGGUUGUAAACCGCUUUUGUACGGAACGAAAAGGCUCUGGCUAAUACCUGGGGCUGAUGACGGUACCGUAAGAAUAAGCACCGGCUAACUACGUG